rnacentral:rRNA from 1 species
GACGAACGCUGGCGGCGUGCUUAACACAUGCAAGUCGAAGAUAGUGGCGAACGGGUGAGUAAUGCCUAGGAAUCUGCCUGGUAGUGGGGGAUAACGUCCGGAAACGGGCGCUAAUACCGCAUACUAUCAGAUGAGCCUAGGUCGGAUUAGCUAGUUGGUGGGGUAAAGGCCUACCAAGGCGACGAUCCGUAACUGGUCUGAGAGGAUGAUCAGUCACACUGGAACUGAGACACGGUCCAGACUCCUACGGGAGGCAGCAGUGGGGAAUAUUGGACAAUGGGCGAAAGCCUGAUCCAGCCAUGCCGCGUGUGUGAAGAAGGUCUUCGGAUUGUAAAGCACUUUAAGUUGGGAGGCGUUACCAACAGAAUAAGCACCGGCUAACUUCGUGCCAGCAGCCGCGGUAAUAC